AGCGAACGCUGGCGGCAGGCCUAACACAUGCAAGUCGAACGAUCCUUCGGGAUAGUGGCGGACGGGUGAGUAACACGUGGGAACGUGCCCUUUGGUUCGGAAUAACUCAGGGAAACCUGAGCUAAUACCGGAUGUGCCCUUCGGGGGAAAGAUUUAUCGCCAUUGGAGCGGCCCGCGUUGGAUUAGCUAGUUGGUGGGGUAAAGGCCCACCAAGGCUACGAUCCAUAGCUGGUCUGAGAGGAUGAUCAGCCACACUGGGACUGAGACACGGCCCAGACUCCUACGGGAGGCAGCAGUGGGGAAUCUUGCGCAAUGGGCGAAAGCCUGACGCAGCCAUGCCGUGUGAAUGAUGAAGGUCUUAGGAUUGUAAAAUUCUUUCACCGGGGACGAUAAUGACGGUACCCGGAGAAGAAGCCCCGGCUAACUACGUGCCAGCCGCCGCUGUAAGAC
rnacentral:rRNA from 1 species